AUUGAACGCUGGCGGCAGGCCUAACACAUGCAAGUCGAACGGUAACAGGAAACAGCUUGCUGUUUCGCUGACGAGUGGCGGACGGGUGAGUAAUGUCUGGGAAACUGCCUGAUGGAGGGGGAUAACUACUGGAAACGGUAGCUAAUACCGCAUAACGUCGCAAGACCAAAAAGGGGGACCUUCGGGCCUCUUGCCAUCGGAUGUGCCCAGAUGGGAUUAGCUAGUAGGUGGGGUAACGGCUCACCUAGGCGACGAUCCCUAGCUGGUCUGAGAGGAUGACCAGCCACACUGGAACUGAGACACGGUCCAGACUCCUACGGGAGGCAGCAGUGGGGAAUAUUGCACAAUGGGCGCAAGCCUGAUGCAGCCAUGCCGCGUGUAUGAAGAAGGCCUUCGGGUUGUAAAGUACUUUCAGCGGGGAGGAAGGGAGUAAAGUUAAUACCCUUGCUCAUUGACGUUACCCGCAGAAGAAGCACCGGCUAACUCCGUG
rnacentral:rRNA from 1 species